GACCAUGGAACGCGCGUAGAAAAUUAGACCAGUGAGUGCUGUCGGGAAUGCCACCUCCCACAGGGAUUUCGCUUCUCCUAUCACAUCCCACAUUAUUGUCCUAGUCGAACCUCGUCUUGUUAAUAACCCACCUAAUUCUGUCUGCUUUUCCGUAUCAUGCAUCUGCUCUGAUUUUGAUUCGCACAUGUUCUUGUUAUAUCAGUACGUCUUCGUUGAUUAGGAAAUCAAGUUAAUCUAGGAGGUAAACACCCAGAAAUUUUUAUCACGCAAAGUAACCUUACACCAUAGCUUAAAUCCAAAACCAAGGUGGGAACUCAAAGUAGGGUGUGAUGGAUUUACUAUAUGUGUGUUUAUGAGAAUGAUACACAAACACACACUAGCUAGUGUGUUGUGAUGAAUGAAAUUAAGAGGAGGGGGUGGGGACUCUGUUUUUGUUUGAUGGGUGGAAAGCGAACAAGGGAGGAAAUAGGUGGAGGGAAGGAGCGGAGUGAUAAAUUAAGAAACUAGGUAAUUAUUACUGCGUGGGAGUGAAGAAGAUGUGAGAAGGAUGGGCGAGUAUAAAUAGAAUAGAGGAGGAUUUGAAUUCGAUCGUGUUUUUCCUGUUUAAAAUAUGUGUGUCACUACUAUUCUAAAAUUCUAAUAAAUCACUUUCUGCUUCCCUUGCCUCCUCAACUAUGAAAUCAAAUGAAAAGGUUGACAUAUAAAGUCUUUUUUUUUUUUUUCAUAUGCUUAUGCAAUAUGCAUUACUCUUCCUCCUUGUUUCUUCUCUCAUUUUUUAAAACUUCAAC
rnacentral:lncRNA from 1 species